CGAGCCGCAUCUCUAAGUGGACUUCUUUGUCUCCGACAGAGUGGUUUUUCAUUAGAAACAUUCUCCUGGCAUUGUGGAUGUCUCCUCUUCACUUCUCAAGCACUUCAUUUUGUCGGAUCUCAGGCAAAACUUUUCACUCACAUCUCCCCGAAACGAAUGUGUAAUAGAAAACUUGCUCCAGUUUUUUCCACAGAAAAAACUCACACAUUCAAAAGAUGCUACUGCUCGCAUG
rnacentral:lncRNA from 1 species